rnacentral:rRNA from 1 species
AUUGAACGCUGGCGGCACGCUUAACACAUGCAAGUCGAACGGCAGCACAAAGAGCUUGCUCUUGGGUGGCGAGGGGCGGACGGGUGAGUAAUGCGUAGGAAUCUACCGUAGAGAGGGGGAUAACUCGGGGAAACUCGAGCUAAUACCGCAUAUAGUCUGAGGACAAAAGGUGGCGCCUUGGGGGCUACCGCUUUAUGAUGAGCCUCCGUCGGAUUAGCUAGUUGGUAGGGUAAAGGCCUACCAAGGCGAGGAUCCGUAGCUGGACUGAGAGGAUGAGCAGCCAAACUGGGACUGAGACACGGCCCAGACUCCUACGGGAGGCAGCAGUGGGGAAUAUUGGACAAUGGGGGCAACCCUGAUCCAGCGAUGCCGCGUGUGUGAAGAAGGCCUGCGGGUUGUAAAGCACUUUAGUUAGGGAGGAGAGGUGUCGUGUGAAUAACGCGAUGCUGAGACGUUACCUAAAGAAUAAGCACCGGCAAACUCUGUGCCAGCAGCCGCCGUAACAC